rnacentral:rRNA from 1 species
UUACCUGGCCUUGACAUGUACCGAAUUUGGGAGAGAUUCCUUAGUGCUCGAAAGAGAACGGUAACACAGGUGCUGCAUGGCUGUCGUCAGCUCGUGUCGUGAGAUGUUGGGUUAAGUCCCGCAACGAGCGCAACCCUUGCCAUUAAUUGCCAUCAUUUAGUUGGGCACUUUAAUGGGACUGCCGGUGACAAACCGGAGGAAGGUGGGGAUGACGUCAAGUCCUCAUGGCCCUUAUGGCCAGGGCUUCACACGUAAUACAAUGGUCGGUACAGAGGGUUGCCAACCCGCGAGGGGGAGCCAAUCCCAGAAAGCCGAUCGUAGUCCGGAUUGUAGUCUGCAACUCGACUACAUGAAGUCGGAAUCGCUAGUAAUCGCGGAUCAGCAUGUCGCGGUGAAUACGUUCCCGGGCCUUGUACACACCGCCCGUCACACCAUGGGAGUGGGUUUUACCAGAAGUAGGUAGUCUAACCGUAAGGAGGACGCUUACCACGGUAGUAUUCAUGACUGGGGUGAAGUCGUAACAAGGUAACC